rnacentral:rRNA from 1 species
GACGUAGGGUGCGAGCGUUGUCCGGAUUUAUUGGGCGUAAAGAGCUCGUAGGCGGCUCGUCGCGUCGACCGUGAAAACCCGAGGCUCAACUUCGGGCUUGCAUUCGAUACGGGCAGGCUCGAGUUCGGUAGGGGAGACUGGAAUUCCUGGUGUAGCGGUGAAAUGCGCGGAUAUCAGGAGGAACACCGAUGGCGAAGGCAGGUCUCUGGGCCACUACUGACGCUGAGAAGCGAAAGCAUGGGGAGCGAACCGG